UUAACACAUGCAAGUCGCACGAGAACGCACUUGCUUGCAAGUGCUAGUAAAAUGGCGCACGGGUGAGUAACACGUGGGUAAUCUCCCCUCAAGUUCGGGAUAACAGGGCGAAAGCGCUGCUAAUACCGGAUAACAUAGCCCGGGCUUUGGCCUGGGAUAUCAAAGGUGGCCUCUCUGUGAAGCUAUCGCUUGAGGAUGAGCCCGCGGACCAUUAGCUUGUUGGUGGGGUAAUGGCCCACCAAGGCGACGAUGGUUAGCUGGUCUGGGAGGAUGAUCAGCCACACUGGAACUGACACACGGUCCAGACUCCUACGGGAGGCAGCAGUGAGGAAUUUUGCGCAAUGGGGGAAACCCUGACGCAGCAACGCCGCGUGAGUGAUGAAGGCUUUCGGGUCGUAAAGCUCUGUUGGGUGGGAAGAACCCGUUUUGUGAACAAUACCACAAAGCGCUGACGGUACCACCUGAGGAAGCACCGGCUAACUCCGUGCCAGCAGCCGCGGUAAUACGGAGGGUGCAAGCGUUAUUCGGAAUUAUUGGGCGUAAAGCGCGCGUAGGCGGUUCGGUAAGUCAGCUGUGAAAGCCCAUGGCUCAACCAUGGAAGUGCGGUUGAUACUAUCGAACUUGAGUAUGGGAGAGGGAAGCGGAAUUCCUGGUGUAGCGGUGAAAUGCGUAGAUNUCAGGAGGAACACCGGUGGCGAAGGCGGCUUCCUGGACCAAUACUGACGCUCAGGCGCGAAGGCGUGGGGAGCAAACAGGAUUAGAUACCCUGGUAGUCCACGCAGUAAACGGUGAUCACUAGGUGUAGCGGGUAUUGAACCCUGCUGUGCCGCAGUCAACGCAUUAAGUGAUCCGGCUGGGGAGUACGGCCGCCAGGUUUAAACUCGAAGGAAUUGACGGGGGCCCGCACAAGCGGUGGAGCAUGUGGUUU
rnacentral:rRNA from 1 species